rnacentral:rRNA from 1 species
UACAGAGGGUGCAAGCGUUAACCGGAAUUACUGGGCGUAAAGCGUGCGUAGACGGUUACAUAAGUCGGGUGUGAAAGCCCCGGGCUCAACCUGGGAAUUGCAUUCGAGACUGCGUAGCUAGGGUGCGGAAGAGGGAAGCGGAAUUUCCGGUGUAGCGGUGAAAUACGUAGAUAUCGGAAGGAACACCAGUGGCGAAAGCGGCUUCCUGGUCCAGCACCGACGUUCAGGCACGAAAGCGUGGGGAGCAAACAGG